AAUAGAUACCCGGGUAGUCCACGCCGUAAACGGUGGGCACUAGGUGUGGGCGACAUUCCACGUCGUCCGUGCCGCAGCUAACGCAUUAAGUGCCCCGCCUGGGGAGUACGGCCGCAAGGCUAAAACUCAAAGGAAUUGACGGGGGGCCCGCACAAGCGGCGGAGCAUGUGGCUUAAUUCGACGCAACGCGAAGAACCUUACCAAGGCUUGACAUACACCGGAAACGUCCAGAGAUGGGCGCCCCCUUGUGGUCGGUGUACAGGUGGUGCAUGGCUGUCGUCAGCUCGUGUCGUGAGAUGUUGGGUUAAGUCCCGCAACGAGCGCAACCCUUGUCCCGUGUUGCCAGCAGGCCCUUGUGGUGCUGGGGACUCACGGGAGACCGCCGGGGUCAACUCGGAGGAAGGUGGGGACGACGUCAAGUCAUCAUGCCCCUUAUGUCUUGGGCUGCACACGUGCUACAAUGGCCGGUACAAUGAGCUGCGAUACCGCGAGGUGGAGCGAAUCUCAAAAAGCCGGUCUCAGUUCGGAUUGGGGUCUGCUAACG
rnacentral:rRNA from 1 species